GACGAACGCUGGCGGCGUGCUUAACACAUGCAAGUCGAACGGAAAGGCCCUGCUUUUGUGGGGUGCUCGAGUGGCGAACGGGUGAGUAACACGUGAGUAACCUGCCCUUGACUUUGGGAUAACUUCAGGAAACUGGGGCUAAUACCGGAUAGGAGCUCCUGCUGCAUGGUGGGGGUUGGAAAGUUUCGGCGGUUGGGGAUGGACUCGCGGCUUAUCAGCUUGUUGGUGGGGUAGUGGCUUACCAAGGCUUUGACGGGUAGCCGGCCUGAGAGGGUGACCGGCCACAUUGGGACUGAGAUACGGCCCAGACUCCUACGGGAGGCAACAGUGGGGAAUAUUGCACAAUGGGCGGAAGCCUGAUGCAGCAUCGCCGCGUGCGGGAUGACGGCCUUCGGGUUGUAAACCGCUUUCGCCUGUGACGAAGCGUGAGUGACGGUAAUGGGUAAAGAAGCACCGGCUAACUACGU
rnacentral:rRNA from 1 species